rnacentral:rRNA from 1 species
UACGAGGGGGGCAAGCGUUGUUCGGAAUUACUGGGCGUAAAGAGCGCGUAGGCGGUCCGUUAAGUGUAGAGUGAAAGCUCCGGGCUCAACUCGGAAAUUGCUCUGCAUACUGGCGGACUCGAGGACGGAAGAGGUUUGUGGAAUCCUGGUGUAGCGGUGAAAUGCGUAGAUAUCAGGAGGAACACCGAUGGCGAAGGCAGGUCUCUGGGCCACUACUGACGCUGAGAAGCGAAAGCAUGGGGAGCGAACAGG